rnacentral:rRNA from 1 species
UACAGAGGUGGCAAGCGUUGUUCGGAUUCAUUGGGUGUAAAGGGUGCGUAGGCGGUCAGGAUAGUCAGGUGUGAAAUCCUACAGCUCAACUGUAGAACGGCAUUUGAUACUUCCUGGCUAGAGUGCGGGAGAGGUGAAGGGAAUUCCCGGUGUAAGGGUGAAAUCUGCAGAGAUCGGGAAGAACACCAGUAGCGAAGGCGCUUCACUGGCUCGUAACUGACGCUGAGUGCACGAAGGCGUGGGGAGCAAACAGG